rnacentral:lncRNA from 1 species
ACAGUCCAACAACAAAAUUUCCAAAGCAAGGCUAGCAAGGUUCAACGCAAACAGAAAUACGAAGGAGAUGCUAACUAUUAUCAAAGCAUUCUGACCAUUGUCUAACCUAGCUAGCAGCUAAGACCCAACCUUUCAGUUCAGUGCAAAAUAACAUCCAAGUAUUCAUUGAGAGAACUUCAUUCUCAUGCACAAGCAGAAUUAACACCAAGCAUACCACACAAACUCUGCAUCCAAAGCAUUACGCAACAGACUUGGUAGAAUUGAAUUCAACCUAACCAUCUAACUCAGGACUAACAAAAGCUAUUAACUAACAUUUCCAACCAAAAGAAGCAAGAAGAACGCCAGCAAGGCAGCAAAGGUGAGCAAAACAAUUCAAAACAGAUUGAACAACCAAUAACAAUUAACAGGUAGCGAUGCGUGAAUUUAAUCGAGCUUCAAUUGAACAACAGAAAAAUAACCUAGCAAGGUAGCUAACAAGUUUUUCAGCUGACUGCACAUCAGAAUAACUUAUCAUAACAUUUAAACUCCGCUAACAAAACACAUUAACUUCCUAGCUCACUCUAACAGGAGCAUUAAAAACUUAACAAUGCUAACAAUUUAACUGAAAUGAACAGCUAACACUAACAAACUAAGCCUAACAGAUUCAUUUUCCAACACAAUCCAUCCAUAACAAACUUUAACUGAACUUCUUAACACUGUUAUAACCUUCAACCGAUUUGCACUUGUAAAAACUUAACAGAAUCUAACUUUGUUAACAUUCAAACUCUAUAUAAUCAUCACUUCAUCAUUUUCAUGACAGAGAGAAUUUUUCCAGAUUUUUCACUUUCUCUCUCGAAUCUCUGUUCACCGACUCCAUCAACAUUCUCCAGAUUUUCAUCUUCAACAAUCACUCUCACUCUUCAAAUCAUUCAUCAAAUUCCUAGAUUCAAUUCGUUAAUCACUCUUCACUCUCACCACAGUUCAGAAGUACUUUCAUUCACAACACUAGAAAUCAAUAAGAAGAAGAAGAACCAGGGAUUGGAAUCAGAGAAAGGAGAAGAGAUUUAAUACAUGUUCGCGUCGCAAUUCCAUUUCGGUUAGUUUUCUCGCUUUGAUUUGAUUUUGCGUGCAAAAGUCGAUUCAUUUACGACUUCGAUUCAAUUUCACUUCUUCCCGAUUCCGCACGUACGAAGAUGAAUAGAGUGUGAAUGUUGAACGUUUGAUUCGACUCCGACGAUUGAAGUGAUUUCAUAGUCAUUUUCUUCGUCAAUUUUUCCGUUUUGAAUCUUGUUCUUGAAUGGAAACGCGAGGUAUAAAGUUAAAGUGAAAAGAAGCCCGUGUGAAUGUUCCAGGAUGCGAAGAUGUUGAUGCCUUCGUUUUGGCCAGAGUGUAUUGGAUUGGACUCACACUUUGCUGUUUAGAGCUUGGCACUAGUUAGGCCUGACGCCCAAAC